rnacentral:SRP_RNA from 1 species
UUUUUGGUCUCUCGCAAUGGAAUUCAGUUUACUUGGUCAGGUUCGGAAGAAAGCAGCCAGAAUUGAAAGCUCCGUGUGCCGAGAAGUGCUGGGAACGC